AUGGUCAAGAGGGGGAGAAGGCUGUGUCUCACACUCAGGAGGAUUCUGUGGGCACUAACAUUGAUGAUGAUGUGCAGGUUCAAGUCCAGCCAAUUGUGGGUACAAUUCCGGUUGGUACUCUCACUGAUGGUGAUGUGCAGGUUCAGGUCCAGCCAACAGUGGGUUCCAUUCAGAUUGGAGGAGCAGCAAGUGCAGGGGGAGCAACAAGGCAGUGGUGCAAGCUCAUCUGACACGGUGGAACUGCCUAUUGCGUUGCGAAAGGGGACACGUGAAGCGGCACAGAAGGCUUUACCACCGAAGUUUUUUGAUGAUCAUGACAUUGGAAAUUGUGUGUCUUAUGAGGCUUUGUCUCCUUCCUAUAGAGUGUUUGUUGCCUCUCUUCAAACUGUGUCAAUCCCAAAGGAUUGGAAGACUGCAAAGCAAGAUCCGAAGUGGCGUGAAGCGAUGAUAGAAGAGUUGGAAGCACUGAGGAAAAACAAGACGUGGGUGCUAACCACAUUGCCGACAGGAAAGAAAGCAGUGAGUUGUAAGUGGAUCUAUACAGUGAAGCAAAAUCCUGAGGGGAAGGUGGAACGGUAUAAGGCUAGAUUGGUCGCCAGAGGAUAUAGUCAAACUUAUGGAAUGGACUAUGACGAGACGUUUGCUCCAGUGGCAAAGAUGAACACAGUAAGGAUAUUAGUUUCCUGUGCUGCAAACUUUGGGUGGAAGUUGCAUCAAUUAGAUGUCAAGAAUGCCUUCUUGCAUGGUGAGUUGAGGGAAGAAGUGUACAUGGAGAUACCACCAGGGUUUGGUACUUCACAGACCACGGGGAAGGUAUGCAGGCUGAAGAAAUCCUUGUAUGGACUGAAGCAAUCACCGAGGGCUUGGUUUGAUAGGUUCAGAUGUGCUGUCCGUGCUAUGGGGUAUGGUCAAUGUAAUGGUGACCACACGGUGUUCUACAAACACUCACUCUCUGAUCCGAAGAUCACCAUCCUUGCAGUUUAUGUGGAUGACAUUAUCAUCACUGGAGAUGAUAAGGAGGAAAUAGAGAGAUUGAAGGGGUGUCUAAGCAAGGAGUUUGAGGUAAAGGAUUUGGGCAACCUAAAAUACUUCCUUGGCAUUGAAGUGGCUCGGACAGAGAAGGGAAUAUCUUUGUGCCAACGGAAAUACACCUUGGAUCUCUUGAGUGACAUGGGCAUGAUGGGAUGUCGUGCAGCCCCUACGCCGAUUGAACAAAAUCAUCGAGUGACAGCUCAAUCAGGUGAGCUGGUGAAUAAGGAAGAUUAUCAGAAAUUAGUUGGGAGGUUAUUGUACUUGUGUCAUACCAGGCCUGACAUUACGUAUGCCGUGGGUGUGGUGAGCAGAUACAUGCAUGAACCAAGGAGUGGGCAUCUUGAUAUUGUGCACAGAAUUCUGAGAUACUUGAAGGGGACUCCGGGUAAAGGGUUGUGGUUUGCGAAGUGGACAUCUUGA
rnacentral:rRNA from 1 species